GAUGAACGCUUGCGGCAGGCUUAACACAUGCAAGUCGAACGGUAAGGCCCUUCGGGGCACACGAGUGGCGGAUGGGUGAGUAACGCGUAUGCAACCUGCCCCGCACCGGGGAGUAGUCCGGCGAAAGCUGGGGUAAUCCCCCGUGGUGCUGCGGAUCCGCAUGGAAUCGCAGUGAUAGGCUUCGGCCGGUGCGGGAUGGGCAUGCGUGCCAUUAGCUAGUCGGCGGGGUAACGGCCCACCGAGGCGACGAUGGCUAGGGGUCCUGAGAGGGAGGCCCCCCACACUGGGACUGAGACACGGCCCAGACUCCUACGGGAGGCAGCAGUGAGGAAUAUUGGUCAAUGGGCGGAAGCCUGAACCAGCCAUGCCGCGUGCCGGAAGACGGCCCUACGGGUUGUAAACGGCUUUUGCGCGGGAGGAAUAACCGGGGUGCGCCCCGGGACGACCGUACCGUGCGAAUAAGGAUCGGCUAACUCCGUGCCAGCAGCCGCGGUAAUACGGAGGAUCCGAGCGUUAUCCGGAUUUACUGGGUUUAAAGGGCGCGCAGGCGGCCUAGCGAGUCGCUGGUGAAACCCCGGGGCCUAACCCCGGGCCUGCCGGCGAUACUGCUGGGCUUGAAUGCGGUCGAGGCCGGCGGAAUGCGUGGUGUAGCAGUGAAAUGCUUAGAUAUCACGUGGAAGGCCGAUAGCGUAGGCAGCUGGCCAGGCCGCGAUUGACGCUGAGGCGCGAAAGCGUGGGGAUCGAACGGGAUUAGAUACCCCGGUAGUCCACGCCGUAAACGAUGAGCACUGGCUCUGGGCCCGCCUGGGGUCUGGGGCUGCGCGAAAGCAUUAAGUGCUCCACCUGGGGAGUACGGCCGCAAGGCUGAAACUCAAAGGAAUUGACGGGGGCCCGCACAAGCGGAGGAACAUGUGGUUUAAUUCAAUGAUACGCGAGGAACCUUACCUGGGCUCGAACGCCGGGUGCAUGGUCGGGAAACCGGCCUUCCCCUCGGGGCUUCCGGCGAGGUGCUGCAUGGUUGUCGUCAGCUCGUGCCGUGAGGUGUCGGGUUAAGUCCCAUAACGAGCGCAACCCCUGCCGCCAGUUGCCAGCAAGUGAAGUUGGGGACUCUGGCGGGACUGCCGGCGCAAGCCGUGAGGAGGGUGGGGAUGACGUCAAAUCAGCACGGCCCUUACGUCCAGGGCGACACACGUGUUACAAUGGCCGGUACAGCGGGGAGCCACCCAGCGAUGGGGCGCCGAUCCCGAAAGCCGGCCCCAGUUCGGAUCGGAGUCUGCAACCCGACUCCGUGAAGCUGGAUUCGCUAGUAAUCGCGCAUCAGCCAUGGCGCGGUGAAUACGUUCCCGGGCCU
rnacentral:rRNA from 1 species